AUAUCUUUCAGCGAUGGAUCUCUUGGUUCCCGCAACGAUGAAGAACGCCGCGAAACGCGAUAUGUAAUGUGAAUUGCAGGAUUAAGUGAAUCAUCAAAUCUUUGAACGCGAAUUGCGCUUGGACCCUCGGGUUUGAGCAUACCUGGAUCAGUCUUUUUUU
rnacentral:rRNA from 1 species